CGGCCUUGGAUCCAGCCGUCCUCCUACCCACGCGACCAGCACACCCGCGCAGAUCCCAGCAGAGAUAGCUGCAGAAUCCGGCAGCCCUGCAGCCCCGCCCCGCCGCCUGCGCAACACAGCACACCACCGUCAGAAGACCCGCGCGCACGACUAGCCUUGCUGGCCAGCAGCCUCGCAGCAGACCCACCGCCUCCACCCACCACUGCUACAACCCCCCGUGCGCAUCACCGUUUUCGAUCCAGCCUAGCGCCGACGAUCCUGCAAUCCCGGCCUCAUCCCAGCGCUCCUCGCCUACCAUGGCCCAGAAUCAGCCACCCAUCAAAGAACCAGAACGAAGAAGACGCG
rnacentral:lncRNA from 1 species